CAACUGGUCAUCCUACUAUUACUACAACCAAUCAUAAUGACCUGAUGUGUGGUUAUCACGUGUGCCACGGACAUCAGUAUUGUAUCGUUGAAGAGAAAGAUUUCAACCACUUGCAUCUUAAAUGUGCUGAUGUACAUAAUACACAACACUGUCUUCCGAAUCUGUUGAGCCUUGGAUCUUCGUGCUUUUGUGACACCAGGACAUGUGUAGACCAUACUCUUAUCUCCAUUUU